rnacentral:lncRNA from 1 species
CCUUGGGAUCUGCCUGCCUUGGCCUCCCAAAGUGCUGGGAUUACAGGCGUGAGCCACUGCACCUGGCAUAAUUUUGGCUACUCUUAAUCAACCCCAGAAGGUUUAAUAAGAACUUUGAUUAGCUACUUUCUAGCUUCAUGAAUUUACCAAGCUAUUCCUGGUUUUGCACCUUUAAGAAACUCAUUUUUUAAAUCUGAUGAAUAUAUGUCCAUAAGAAGCUUUACUUGGUUAAAAUUAAAUACAUACAAAAUUGACAGAAAAAUUAUUUUGUCAAAGAAAAAUGAACGAAGAGUAGUGUCAUUUUUCAUUGUCACAUUCAUUUCUCUAAGAAAUGGAUCUGUCCUUCAACAUCUCCUCCUAGCCCAUACUGUUUGAAUAUAGAGGGCUCUUGGGCCAUGGUCCGGGGAUUAUUUAUAAUCAGCAACAAGGGGUUACAGUGUCAUGGCUUACAAUUUGGUGGGGUGGGACCAGGGACUAGUUGGAGUUUUUUGUUUUGGUCGUCAUAAUUUAUUUGAAGCAGGGAGCUUGGCUCUCCACCCUUUGUACUUAUUAGUCCACCAAACAUCUGCCCAGUCACCACUGGGACUUUUAACACUCCAUACUUAUACAUGCUUGAUUUUUUGUGGUAUAGACAUAGACACUUAUCAACAUGGGCUAGCUUCUUUUGACCUUGCUCAUCUCCAUACGGGAUGACUGAACAGGCAUCAAACUGAAGGGUUAAAAAAUGACUAGCCUGAGUUACACUGAUGACAAGAUGACCUUCUGUUGAAAAGAAAAAAGAGAAUAAAUAAGUGAUUAUUAAGCUCUUUUUAGAGUUAAUUUGGUGGGGGUGGGCUGUGGAGUGACAGUUCAUGAUUCUGGAGGUGGCGGCACCUUCUUGACUCGGGUGUGAUGAGUCCAUCCUCUUUCUGUUGUCCAGACUGCAGUCUCAGUACAUAGGAGCACUAGGUAGGGUCCUUCCCAGGCUGGUUCGAGCUUCCUUUUCUUCUACCCUUGGAUGAGAACAUGGUCUCAAGGCCAAUGCUGAUGUUCUGGAAACUCCAGGGGUGAUGCCUGUGCUAGGAGACCUUUAGUCCCAAGGGAAAAGAAGGUAGAGCCUAGACCAAGUAUAUAAUUUUUGAGGAAAUGAUCCUUUGUUUCAAACAUAGGGAUGUCAGCAAUGGAGUGUAAGUAGGGCAUUCCAUAGAGCGUUUCCUCAGGUGACAGGCCAAUAUCUUUCCAAGGGGCAGUCCGGAUUCUUAACCAAGCAAUAGGAGUAUAUUUAGUCCAUGGCAAUCGAGUUUCUAAAACUAAGUUAAGUGGUUUAUUAGAGUCUGAUUCAUCCACUCUACUCUUCCUGUGGAGGAUGGAUGCCAAGGAGUAUGGUAUUCCCAAUGUAUAUCUAGUACCUGUGCUAACUUCUUAAUGACAUGCACAGUGAAAUGGGUUGCAGUAUCUGAAUCAGUAUUUUCUAUUAGUUCAAAUCUGGGUAUGAUGUUUUCAAUUAGCGCUUUAACUACAUUACUGGAGGUUGCACGUGAGAAUGGGAUUGCCUCUACCCAGUGGGUAAAAUGGUCUAUUAUUACUAAUAAGUAUAACUACCAAUUGGAGGCAUUUCAGUGUAAUUGAUCUGAACACUUUGAAAUGGUCUCAGUGCUGGAUUUCUUCCACCAAGGCGCAAUUUCCUUAGAUCCUGCUUAUUAGCUUUUUUUACAUGUUAAGCAACUAUCUAUAACUUGUUUGGCCAGGGUGUAAAUUCUUAUACACCCAUAAACCCGGAGAACUGCAUUGCACAUUGCUUGGGGUCCCCAAUGGGUCCCUUGAUGUAAUUGAGACAAGACUUCCCUCAUGAGAGGUUUUGACAACAUUUCCCUUUGAUCUGAUAAUAUCCAUUUCCUAUCCGCAUUUUCUUUAGCUCCUAUUUUUAUCAACGUCUUUUGUUCAAUGGAAGAGAAAACGGGUUACAGUAGGAGGAGGGCAUGGAGUUAAAUGGAAGAAAUGGCAACUUGUUUUGCUAUUUUAUUGUAACCGACUGAGUUAUAGAGAGAAUGCCACAGUCUGAGACUAAUUCAGUGAUCCUUUAUUGCCAGCAACCGAGAGACGGCUAGAGCUCAAAAUUCUCUCAGCCCCGAAGAAGGGGCUACACAUCUUUUUACACCUUGGUCUAAAGAGGGGAGGAGGAGUGUAGCUGAAGCAAUUUUUUACAGAAGCAGAACAGGCAAAAAAGUUGAAAGAUAAAUGGUUACAGAAACAGUAAUAAGAAAAUAAACAGUUCCAGGUGCAGGGGCUUAAAUUAUCACAAAGUGAUAAACGCAAAGGCUUUGGGCACCGUCAACCGAGUGCGUUCCCAGGAGCUGCUGGUACAGCUUGCCUCAGUAUCUUAUCAGUAAGCGCAUUCUUGGAUGUGCUUGGAGUCAGCUUGCACCAGUUAUGUCCUUAAGGGAGGGGGACAAGGGGCUGCAAGUGAAGAAACCAAAAUGGAGUCUGUCCAGCUCUCUCAGCUAAGAGAGAGUCAAUCAGGUUAAAAGAAGUUAGGGUAUCACAUUUCCCACUCGUGUUUGGGGGAAUCAGAUCAUUGAUUCCUCGGUUAUAACAAGGGUGUUAUAUUGGGUUCUAAGAUACAUAAGAUUGACAGAAGCUAUGCGUUGCUUUACAAAAUUAAGAAACCAAUUUAAUAUACAAGGCCUGAAGACUAACCCUAACAAGAGGAGGAGAAGGGGGUCCCGCCAACCCAGUAAUUAGAGUAGUUAGCCAGGGAUUCCAGUUAAACAUGCUUUGGUACUUUGGUACUCCAGGAAUGAGAAAGGUGGUGUUACUUUCUUGUUCCUUCUGGCAUCUAUCUAGAUUUUCUCGAACUCUUUGAAGAGUAUUUUUUAUGACUCCAGACUGAUUGGCAUAGAAACAACAACUUUCUUCUAGAGCUGUGCAUAAACCUCCUUGGGAGAUAAAUAGCAGAUCUAAGCCUCGGCGGUUUUGAAGAACUACUUCAGCUAGAGACUCUACCUGGGCAUGUAGUAUAUUUAUGGCUGAUUGGAGAUUGCUUAAAUCAGCAUCUACCUGUUGAGAUAGUGAUAUUAGUCCAGUUUCUCCUUGAAUCAGGGCAGUCGUGCCAAUAGCUGCUGACGUAGCUAUGCUAAGGCCAGCUAGAAGGGGUACAAGGAGUAGGGCAGCUCGGUGAAACCUGAAAUGCAAUUCAGGGGGAGCAAUGAGAAGUUGUCCUUCUGGCCCACUGUACAUGUAGAUCUGGGGGAGUACAUGAAUCAACAUGCAUAGGAGAGGUCCAGGUUCAGUCCCAUUGAUGCAGCGAGUGAGGCCUGAAAUGCAGGCCAACCAGGUAUUUUUGGGUGCCUGGUAGGAGACUGAGGGGUUUAAGGAAGUAAGGAGAGACUCACUACAAGUAGCCUGAAAGGGAGAAGCAGGUAAGUUAUACCUUGCGCUAAUUAGACAGAAGGCAUUCCCUGACACAUCUCCUAGUGUAAGGGCAUGGGGGCACGUAUGACAAGAAAGAGAGUCCAUUUUGAGCAUGGCUUCUACUCCUAAUCCAACAUAAUAUGGGGGUUUGGCCUUUCGGCACAACCAGCAAUCUCAGGCUAGUUUAGGCUUGGUGAGAUUAAGGAGGUGAUGUAUCCCGUCCAAAAUGGACAUCGGGCUGGGUUGGAGGUAUUGUCAUUGCAGCUGGGGUCUCAGAACCAGGAAUGGCAGUGGGACAGUUAAAUCGACUCUCUCUGGGUGUUUUUGGAACAUAGGGUCACCUAAAUCAGUUAAAGUUCUGAUUGGCUUCAUGGGACCAGGAAUUUUUUCUGGAUGGUGAACAUAGUUCCAACAUCAAAUCCUGAAAUAUAAAGCCUUAAUCCCUAUGACAUGCUGUAAUACCAUUGAGUUAAACUAGGGUUACGGAGAGUUAUAGUAAGAGGAUUACAAUUUCCUAUAGUACACGGCUUAGGAUGGGAAGCACAAGCUAUGGAAAGGGUUGAGGAUCAGGUUCAUCCUCCAGAGUAAGUGGCCAAGGUUACACACAUGCAGUAAGGGCAGAAAAACUGGUAAGAAUCUCGACAACUAGAGUCAGGGCGAUUUCCAGGACAAAGGUAAAAGUCAACGCUCUGGAGCCUUUUUUCUGCACCCUUAGAACUUCCACAUCCAGUUUGGCUUCUGGUGUGUCCGAACCCUGCAGCAAGGUCAGCGUUCCCUGCUCUCAUGAUCGGCAGAUUGCAUUGCUCUUCAAGGGUAUGGGCAGGGUCGGGGAACAAAGCACAUAAACCGACUACAAAAGAGACUUCCUUGGAGGGUCCCACCUUCCAAGUGGUGUUUGCAAACACACAUCCUGUCAUGAAGGAAGUGAGGAGAAAAGAGUAGGAAGGGGCAGAGGACAUAACAGGUGGAAACAGACAGAAGAGGUAAAUAAAAAGAAUUAAUUCGAUAGCUUUACUCAACUUAGGCGCAGUUUUAAGGGGCCUGGCCUAGGCUUGGGGACCCAUUUUUUUUGCUGGGCUUUGUUGGCCUUUUUGAUGCGAGAAUGAUGAAUCCAAGCAGGAGUGCCGUCCACCUUCAGAGCUGUUGGUGUGGUGAGGAUGACAGUAUGAGGUCCUUUCCAGGCAGGAGUCAGUCCUUUUUUCUGGAACUUUUUAACAUACACUAGGUCACCCAGCUGGAAAGAGUGGCAGGGCCCAGUCUGGUCAGGAACUGGGCUGGGGUGUGCUCCCCUGACAAGCAGCUGGAUGAUGUCUUGUACCCGUUGGAGAGACUGCAGGUACUGUAACAAGUUAGCUUGUGAGAUUUCUGCUAAAUGGGUAUCCUUUAGCUUAGGCAAGAUAGGCGGAGCCCUUCCAUACAUGAUUUCAAAAGGUGAAAACCCAGCCUGGUAAGGGGUGCAUCUUACUCUAAGAAGGGCUAAAGGAAGGAGCUUUACCUAGUUUUCACUGGUUUCUAGGAUUAAUUUUGCAAGAGUACUUUUUAGGAUGGGGUUCAUGCAUUCUACUUGUCCAGAGCUCUGGGGUCGAUAGGCACAAUGGAGUUUCCAUUGAAUGUUUAAUGCCUUGCUGACCGACUGAGCUAUGGACGAGGUGAAGGCUGGUCCAUUAUCAGACCUUAUUACAACAGGCAGUCCAUGUUGAGGGAUGAUUUCAUUGAGUAAAAGCUUAACUACCGUGGUAGCAGUUUCGUUUUUGGUGGCAAAUGCCUCAGUCCAUCCAGAAAAGGUGUCUACUAGCACCAGGAGGUAUUUAUACCCUGCCAAGUGUGGUUUUACCUCUGUAAAGUCAAUUUCCCACCUUCCUCCUGGCAAGCCUCCCUGGAGGCGGUGGCCUGGGCUGGGCUUAGGACCUUGCUUGGUGUUUACUUGGGCACAAGCCGUUUACUGGAGAGCUGCUUGGUUAGUUAAGUCCUGAAGGUGGGGGAUCUUGAAAUGGCUCCUUAGAAGCUGGGCCAGUUUUACUCCUCCUAAAUGGGUGGUAGAAUGUAGAUGAUUGAUAAAAGUUUCCCCAAGGGCUUGGGGCAUGAAGAUUCUGGAAUCAGGAAGAAUUCACCAACCUUCCUGAUUUUUACUGGCUUGAAGAUCCGAAGCUUGUUUUUCUUCCUCUGGGGAGUAUUCUGGGUAGUCUGCCCAGUCAGUUGUGGAAAGGACACAGAGGGCAGCAGGGUUAAAGGCACGACCAGGAGCUGAGCUGCCUCUCAAGCUGCAGAGUCUGCUCUUUGGUUACCACGAGCAAUGGCCAUGUCUUCUCUUUGAUGUCCUUUGCAGUGAAUUGCAGCCACCUGUUGAGGGAGCCAAACAGCUUCAAGCAGGGCUAAAAUUUCUUCUUUGUUGUUGACACUCUUUCCUGCUGAGGUAGGAAAUGCUGGGAAGAAAAAGCUGGGCCUUCUUGGCUGGGACCUGAUACCCGAAUUCCUGAAGGAGGUAAAGUAGGUCCGUAGUAUGUUGCAGGCAGCUGUCAGUAGUUUCAGUAGCCAAUAACAGGUCGUCUACAUACUGGAGAAGAGUGCAGUUAGGGUGACUGGCUCAGAAUGGUAAAAGAUCCUGUUGGAGGGCUUCCCUAAAAAGGGUGGGGGAAUUUUUAAAACUUCGGGGUAACCAAGUCCAGGUUAAUUGGGUGGUGUCUACCGAGCCAGGAUAUGUCUGUUCAAAAGCAAAGAUAGGUUGACUUUUGGGGCCAGAGGAAUAGCAAAAAAAAGCAUCCUUGAAGUCAAGGACAGUGUACACCAUAUGUUCUGGUGGGAGCAGGCUGAGUAAAGUAUAAGGGUUAGAGACAGUUGGAUGGACAGUGACUGUCUGCUUGUUACCUUCCUGCAAGUCCUGUACAGGCUGGUAAUCAUUUGUUCCGGGUUUCUGGACCGGCAAAAAUGGAAUAUUCCAGGCGAUCUCACAUGGUGUGAGUAUACCAGCUUGUAAUAGUUGCUGAAUAUGAGGAUUAAUUCCCUCUAUAGCCCACAGAAUCAUAGGAUAUUGUUUGACCUGGACCGGCAGGGUGGUGGCCAGGAGUUCUACAACAGCUGGCAGAUGGUGGUUUGCCAGUCCUGGGAGGUAUGAGGAAACAGAGUCUGUAAAGCCAGUAGGAGAGGAUUACUUUUAUUCUCCGGCAGUUGUGAGGGUGAAACUAAGAGAUAUUCCUCUGACCGAAGGGUGGUUAGCAGGAGCUGAGCAGUAGGGGGCAUUGUGUCCCCUAACAUGAGGUGAGUUUGUUGGGCCGAGAAGGAGAUGGACGCCUGUAGCUUAUGAAGCAGGUCUCAUCCGAGGAGGGAGAAGGGGCACUCUGGGACCACGAGGAACAAGUGGGUUACUCUUUUCUGUCCUAAACUCACCUCUCGUGAGUGGGUGACAGGAUAUUCCUGAAUAGCUCCAGUAGCCCUUUACUCAGCAACCUUUUUAUUAGACACUGCCUAAGGGUGUCUGGAGUACUGAGUGUUCCACCCCGGUGUCAAUUAGGAAGCGUACAGGCUGGCCCCCCACUGUGGUGGUCACCAUGGGUUCCCGGGGCCAAGUGACAAAGAGCCCUGGCCCCGUCAAUCAUCAGAUUCCUCUGCUGCGGGGCAGGGUGAGGACCUUUUUCUUUUCUGGUUUCUCCUCUGGCUUUAAUGGGCAUUCCUUUCUCCAGUGUCCAAUCUGCUUGCAAGAAGCACAUUGGUUUCUUUAUAGGGGAGUCCUCUCACGUUUCUGGCCUUCCUGGUGGGGACUCGGGGUCCCCUGGUCAGUGCUCUGUGAUGGGGGCCCUUCCUUUUUGGCUUCUUGGAUGGCAGCCACUAAGCUUUUUGCCUGUCUUUUUGAUGCUUUGUCUGCAGCCCUUUCAGCUGCCUGAGCUACCUGUUUUUGCUUUUCAAAUUCUCGAUUGUCGAAAACUCUCUGGGCUAUCUCUAAAAGCUGGCUGAUGUAAGGAAAUACUUUCUGGCUUCUCUUCAGAUAUGGUCCCUCUCUUCAGAGGUGAAAAGGGAUGAAAGGAGUUGCUGACACUCAUCCCAGAGUGUCCAGAGUUUGCCUUUUUUAAGGCGGACCCCGUAAUCAUCUGAGAAGCCUAGAGAGAAAUUCUGCAACAUACACUGGAGAGGACUCCAAUCUUUAUGGGGCCGGGAAGAAGAGUUUACUAUUCUGGAGGCAAUUAACAAGGUUUGAACAAAAAUAUUAAACCCAGCAUGGACAAAGAUAUUCACGGCCUGGGAGGCUAUGGUAUCAGAAGAACAGAAGUAUUAUAGCUAGAAGAAGUAGGAAAACAACUAUAGCCAAUAUUUCUUGCCACAUAAGGUCUGUCUCCUCAAGCUUCGAGAUCUAUGGAGAGGAUAAGAGGUGGGUCCAAGGGAUCCUCAGCCAGUGGGACUUAGGUGACCCCCCCUUCUUGACUUAUAUCCCAAAUAACUUUGGUGUCUCCACGACUCGAAAGCAAAAUGUUCAAACUCGGUCCUUUCCUUCACGGGUUUAAGGAGGGAGAACACAGCCAAGUCUUAGAGACGCUGGACUUGCUGCAACACAGGAAAAUGAGAUGUGCAGGGUAAGGGAUGGGGAUGAGGAGGAAAGGGGCCACUUGGAUUUCCCUAAAGGUUGGAGAGUAGCCAAAAGAGGUAAAAUAAGAGUCCAGACAGAGUAGAGCAGUAUGGGUGUAGGUUUCUCUGCACAGUGCCUUAUUUAAGGGCAUGGGAAAAGUUAUGGGAUGACAGAAAAGGUGAGUAAGGAGGUCAGCAGGGUGGCUAUUUUGGAUCCACCACUGGUCUAAGGAGAAGGUGGACCAGUCGUUGGGGCGUGGGGUAUGGCAAUCCAAACGCCAGCAAUCUUUAUGGUGCCAGAAAUCCUAAACGGGUGAAUGUCUUCCACACCCUUCCCCAUAACAACACCUAAUUUGUUUCUGACAGGAAAGGCAGGACUGGGAUGGCCAGCCCAACCGACUAAUGAGGAAUUUGACCUCCUGGGAUAGAAAAUCUGUACUAAGGACCUUGAAGAAGUCCUUGCCCAGUCAUUUUGGGCAGUAUCGACGAUCCGACAUAUGAAAUUUAGACAGACACUAAACAGGACAAUAGGCACUGGGGUAUAUAAACAAGCAUGGCAAUUUUUAUAGACAGACAAGGGGAGGGGGUCCCGUGAUGGGAUCAGUCAGAUGCCCUCCUGGCUGCUCCCCUUUCGGGGACUUAGGCUCCUCUUGGCAUUGGCAGGCUGGUAUAAACCCCUGGCUUGGAUCGAGCUAUGCCUGAUGCCGCCCUAAGCCUUAUGAGGUCACCACGGAACCACAGGUGAGGGCCUUCUCGAAUUCCCUAGCUUUCACCCUGGAGCUACAAACUGGAAAUUCAAGCGCAAGCCCUUGAACUCCACAUUCACUCACUCACUCACUCACUCAGAGUUUAUUACAAUUUUUAUACCCAUUCUAAAACAGAGAUCUCCCGGAGACCUGAAUGAGAGAGGGAGAAGAGAUAGAGAGAGAGAGAGACUAGACUUAACAGAGAAUCCUGACAGAAACCAGGACUCUGUCCUCCAGUGUCCUGGAGCAUGGACAGAGUCUGAGGGAGGACCUUCGUCAGGGCCGUUUCCCUCCCAGAGAGACAGAGUCAGAUCUGACUUACCUUCCCGGGACUAGAGACUGAGGACUCAGGAGUUGAAUUUGGCUGGGCGCACCGGCAGUCGAUCCGUUCCCCUCCAGAAGACAGUGGCCUGUGGAGCCCUGGAACGUCUUCAGGUGGCCCUGUAAGCCAGCUGUCUGUCUGGGGAAGCCCGGAAUGAGUCAGGUCUUCACCCGGUGGCGAAUCUCUCUGGGGCUUCCAAAUGUCGUAACCGAGCAAGUCAUAGAGAGAAUGCCACACUCUGAGACUAAUUCAGGAGUCCUUUAUUGCUGGCGACUGAGAAAGAGCUAGAGCUUGAAAUUCUCUCGGUCCGGAAGAAGAGGCUAGAGUUCUUUUUAUACCUUGGCCUAAAGAGGGGAGGGGGAGUCUAGCUGAAGCAAUUUUUUACAGAAGCAGAACAGGAAAAAAUUAAAAGAUAAAUGGUUACAGAAACAGUUACAGGAAAAUAAACAGUUCCAGGUGCAGGGGCUUAAAGUAUCCCAAAGUGAUAAAAGCAGGGGCUUUGGAUACCACCAACCAAGUGUGCUCCCAGGAGCUGCUGGUACAGCUUGCCUCAGUAUCUUAUCAAUAAGCGCAUUCUUGGAUGUGCUUGGAGUCAGCUUGCACCAGUUAUGUCCUUAAGGAGGGGGACAAGGGGCUGCAAGCGAAGAAACCAAGCUAAGACUCUCUCAGCUAUUGACUCUCUCGAUAUUGACUCUCAAUUGAGUCUCCCAAGCUAUUGACUCUCUCAGCUAAGAAAGAGUCAAUCAGGAUAAAACAAGAUAGGGUAUCACAAUUUGAUCUGCAAGAUUAUUUCCUGGACUUGUGAAAGGCGAGUCGUUUUGGUGCCCUGGGACAUGUACAAUAGCUAUCUCUUCUGGCAAUUGGAGAUUGUUGAGGACACGAGCAUCAGUUCUCUAUGAACUAAAUCUUGGCCUCUACUAUUGAUAAGAGCCCUCUCCAUCCAAAUUUUCCCAAAUGUGUGUGCCUCCCCAGAGGGAUACUUAGAGUCAGUAUAGAUAGAUUUUCUUGGUUUUGUAAAUGUCCUAAAGCUUGGCUGAGUGCAAACAGUUCACACCCUUGGACAGACCAAUUAUUAGACCCCCUUCCUGAUUUUACUUUUUUAACAGUCUUUCCAUUAAUCACUGAAUACCUAUUAUGUCUCUUUCUUUUAAUCACCUGGGAGGUUCCAUCUAUGAAUAAGUGCCACCCUGUCUUGAAGGGAGUUUUUCCUAAGUCUGGUUGAACUUUCGUAUGGUAAUUAAUUCGAUUUAAACACGCGUGCUCUCUCGUUUUACGUUUGGAUCCCCCGUUAAAGAGCCUGCUGAAUAAAGUGAAUUAUUAGUACUUAAUAUUAAAUCACCUUUUUCCCAGAAAGAUAGCCUCAUAUUUUAAAAUUUUUGAGUUGGUAAUCUCCCUCCUUGCGUUUUGAUUUAAUAUAGUUUUAACUUGGUGGGUUGUGGCCUGAAGCGGCUGGGGAGUAACUUGAAACCUCAGCUGAAGGGACAGCACAGGCUGGGGCGUGGCCUGAAACAGCUGGGGAGUAACCUGAAACCACAGCCGGAGGGACCUGAGAGGGGAACCAAAGGGGCAGGAUUGGGGGCGCUGAAGGAAGGAAGGUGAUUUAGAGGAUCCCAUGUCUUGGUAGGUAUGGGUUGUCUAGGCAUGGGAACUCUUUCCUUUUUAGAAAGGUUGGUUUCUGAUUUUCUCCCUCCAGAGUCUAAAGGGUAAAGGAGAACUGGUCCCUGCCGCCAGCAGAGGGCGUAAUCGAUUUUUCCUGGGACACAGGGCUCUUACUGUUAACAUAUUUGAUUAACAGCUGACAAAUUCGCUCUUCAUUAGACUUAAAUUUUGGCCAGAAAAGUGAGGGCUUAAGGAUGGGUUCUCGAACUUAAAUAAAACAACAAUAUUCUAUCAUCUGCUGUUUUUGUUUAUACUUGGUUCUCUUAUUAUUUUUUCAAUACUUUAGCAUAAGCCCCAAGGGGCUAUCAGAAGGAAAUUCAUCACUCUCUAGACUCUUUAGUUUUCCUGUCUUACUUGAAACGUUCCCCAUCUUAGGGAUUAUGGGGAGGAGGCCCAACCCCUCCUGUGAGAUUUCUACCCUCCCCCUUCCUGGAGGCUUACUGAGGCUUUGGGGAAAGGCUCCAACCCAACCUGUUUGGAUUUCUACCCUCCCCCUUCCUCUUUGUCUACUCUGUCUGUUCCUGACUCUAGUUGACAGAUGGCAGCAUGAGGCCAUAGAGAAGACUCACUCACUCCACAUAACCACCAUACUAAGUCCCAUUCAUACACUGUCAGCCUCCAGCUUAUCCCAACCACCUGGGAAAUACUUUGUCACCUUCGCCAAGUCUCCUACCUUAUUCCAUGCACAAGAAUUUCCUGGUCCUCUUAUUGUUGCGGUCUUGCAAGCUUCUCCUCCCCGCUUUGCUGAGAUCCAGACUUAUUUGUCACAAAGCGGGGGGGGGGCCCUGAUCUCCCUCAACCUAGGGGCACGGUAACUAGACAGUAGGAUGCGUCCCCUCCGGGUGGGGUGACCGAAGGCCCCCUUCCCAAAGGAGAAGAUUCGAGCCCCAAAGUUGGGCUCCAGAACUGUUAGGAAUAACGCUCAAAAUCUUAAGGAAAUUGAACACUUGAACAAAGGAUUCUUAGCAAAGCAAUUUUACUUCUGCGCAGAGAGGUGCCUCCUUGUCCAGUCGCCAUGAGAGCACACCUGAAAAAGGGGCACGAGAGCCUUUACUCCUGACACAAGUACUGCCCCUGUACCCUUUCUCCAUUGGCCAGGGUCAGGUCGUACAAUCUAAACUAAUCCUGGUUGGCUAAACAUUGGAUUUUUUUUAGAUAAGGUGGGCACGUAAAAAAGGCAGAGAAUAAAGGGGAAGGGGUGUCUGUAAUGAGCUAAAAAGUUAGUCCUCUUUCCAAAUAAGGAAAGGAAUGUGAGCAGGUACAGAUACCACCUGGUACUGUGGCAUGCCUGGGCAUGUAACAAAGGAAAAAAGAGAAAAAAGGAGAAAAAGGAAAAAAGGUGGAGGGAUUA